GCAUGCCUUAACAUGCAAGUCGAACGGUAACAGGUCUUCGGAUGCUGACGAGUGGCGAACGGGUGAGUAAUACAUCGGAACGUGCCCGAUCGUGGGGGAUAACGCAGCGAAAGCUGUGCUAAUACCGCAUACGAUCUACGGAUGAAAGCGGGGGAUCGCAAGACCUCGCGCGGACGGAGCAGGCCGAUGGCAGAUUAGGUAGUUGGUGGGAUAAAAGCUUACCAAGCCGACGAUCUGUAGCUGGUCUGAGAGGACGACCAGCCACACUGGGACUGAGACACGGCCCAGACUCCUACGGGAGGCAGCAGUGGGGAAUUUUGGACAAUGGGCGCAAGCCUGAUCCAGCCAUGCCGCGUGCAGGAUGAAGGCCUUCGGGUUGUAAACUGCUUUUGGUCGGAACGAAAAAGCUCU
rnacentral:rRNA from 1 species